GAAGCGAGACGGAGACGUUAAGCGAAACCCAAAAAAGUAAGUCUCAGUUCGGAUUGAAGGCUGAAAUUCGCCUUCAUGAAGCCGGAAUUGCUAGUAAUGGCAGGUCAGCAUACUGCCGUGAAUACGUUCCCGGGCCUUGUACACACCGCCCGUCACACCAUGAGAGUUGGGAAUACCCGAAGCCUGUGAGCUAACGUAAGAGGCAGCAGUCGAAGGUAGAAUCAAUGAUUGGGGUGAAGUCGUAACAAGGUAAC
rnacentral:rRNA from 1 species